rnacentral:rRNA from 1 species
GCCUACGGGGGGCAGCAGUGAGGAAUAUUGGUCAAUGGUCGGGAGACUGAACCAGCCAAGCCGCGUGAGGGAUGAAGGUACAGAGUAUCGUAAACCUCUUUUGUCGGGGAACAAAGGCGGGGACGUGUCCCCGGAUGAGUGUACCUGAAGAAAAAGCAUCGGCUAACUCCGUGCCAGCAGCCGCGGUAAUACGGAGGAUGCGAGCGUUAUCCGGAUUUAUUGGGUUUAAAGGGUGCGCAGGCGGUCGGUUAAGUCAGCGGUCAAAGCCCGGGGCUCAACCCCGGCCCGCCGUUGAAACUGGCAGU